CAGCACCUCAAGUGGUCAGGAUGAUUAUUGGGCCUAAAGCAUCCGUAGCCGGCGCUGUAAGUUUUCGGUUAAAUCUGUACGCUCAACGUACAGGCUGCCGGGAAUACUGCAGCGCUAGGGAGUGGGAGAGGUAGACGGUACUCGGUAGGAAGGGGUAAAAUCCUUUGAUCUAUUGAUGACCACCUGUGGCGAAGGCGGUCUACCAGAACACGUCCGACGGUGAGGGAUGAAAGCUGGGGGAGCAAACCGGAUUAGAUACCCGAGUAGUCC
rnacentral:rRNA from 1 species